rnacentral:pre_miRNA from 1 species
ACAACAUUCGGACCGUCGGUCUACCGAGCAAUAUCACCCGCUCGGUGGAAGAUCUUCUCAUUGUCUU